GAUGAACGCUGGCGGCGUGCUUAACACAUGCAAGUCGAACGAAGCACUUUAUUUGAUUUCCUUCGGGACUGAUUAUUUUGUGACUGAGUGGCGGACGGGUGAGUAACGCGUGGGUAACCUGCCUUGUACAGGGGGAUAACAGUUGGAAACGGCUGCUAAUACCGCAUAAGCGCACAGCAUCGCAUGAUGCAGUGGGAAAAACUCCGGUGGUAUAAGAUGGACCCGCGUUGGAUUAGCUAGUUGGUGAGGUAACGGCCCACCAAGGCGACGAUCCAUAGCCGACCUGAGAGGGGGACCGGCCACAUUGGGACUGAGACACGGCCCAAACUCCUACGGGAGGUAGCAGUGGGGAAUAUUGCACAAUGGGCGAAAGCCUGAUGCAGCGACGCCGCGUGAGCGAAGAAGUAUUUCGGUAUGUAAAGCUCUAUCAGCAGGGAAGAUAAUGACGGUACCUGACUAAGAAGCACCGGCUAAAUACGUG
rnacentral:rRNA from 1 species